GGUUUUAUGGUGUAACGGUUAGCACUUCAGACUCUGAAUCUGGCGAUCUGGGUUGAAAUCCCGGUAAAACCU
rfam:Perkinsus marinus ATCC 50983 gcontig_1104296787606, whole genome shotgun sequence.